CUAAUAAACUUCGACAGGUUGGAAGAGCCCCUAGAGGUCCAGCAUCUGAAAUCCAUCGCAAAGUCUGCUGGUAUACACAGCAGUAAAGGAAGAUGAGAAACCAACCCUGAAAAAUAACUUGCUUGACAGAAAAUACCAAUGGAUCAACUCAGCAUCUGGGGAAAAACAGAAUGAAGGAAAGACUAGAAACUGUAGUGGAGAAAGCCUAUUAAAAUCAUCUAGGAUAUGAAGAAGUAAUGAUUUGAACUGGCAGAAGGAAUGCUCACUUCAUGGACAUCACAAAUUCUUGAAAUACAUAAACUCUCAUGAUGUUGGCUCAUCUGCCUGGAGUUAAGUCCAUGGAGUGACUGACAAAUGACUGGAUCCAGGUGCGUUUUUCUUGCCUCCCCACCUACUCAAGUCCCUGUUCCUCAACUUGGCCUAUAGGAUCUGAUCUGGGAUUGGGGAAGAAAGUAAUGGAGUAACACCAGUCUGACAAGAAUGAGCUGCUUGAAGAGCCGUCAGAUGUCACUGUGAGAGAGAAUGAACUGCUAUCAAAGACGCUUACAAUUCAGCUCCAUAUUGCAGGAGAAAUCUUUUUUUUAUUAAAAUGCUUUGUGCUGUAGGAUAUGGGGAGUUACACUGAUCUGUAACUCUGACUAUGUUUGCCCAGAGCACACCAUUAGAUGCUUUGUCUUCCUUAAAAUAAUAUUAAGAUGGGCUUUACUCUCUUCUGGUUCACAUUAAGUAUGGCUGUGUGCAGUCACAGAUUUUAACACAAUGGUUCCCAACAAGAAGGCCAAGAAGAAAGUGUGGUGGGAGGAAGGAAAGAGUUAUUGGAAGGGGCCUGCAAAUCCAGAUGUGCAUUAAGCACUGGCAUUUUGGCAUUGAAUCCCAAGGUAAUAUAAAGCAUC